UGUGCUGUAGUGAUUAGAAACACGUCUAUAAUUUAACAGUUGACUGCAAGGCUUUAUAACCUACCAAAAGUCUCCCGCGCCUUGUAACUGCCAGACUGCCUGUAGUUAAAAGGCAGCAUUCAUCAGUUGCUUUCCUGUCUGAAUAAACGCUACAAGCAGUUGAAAGAUGGAUGCUUGUAACAGUUGAAUGACUCAGAUUCCUCAAGGUAAUGGAGUGUUUCAUUACUACCCUCUCCAUGCCACAGGGCACGAGCACAUUUCUGUCAACAGGAUAUCAUCUACAUAAUGUUGUAUAAGUGUCACUGCUGCUGUAUUUUAUUAGACCUCUGGUUUUCAUUAUGCAAAAAGUCAAAACUGGAACAUUGUAAAUCUCCCCUCUCCUUCCCACUCGCUGCUCUGAAGCCCGGCCGCCAUUCGAUGCCUGACAGCUUCUCCUACCAGUGCACACUAUUUCCAGGGGCUCUGGGGAACUGGAGGGUAAAGCUCCCCGGCUUCAGCUGAAAUAAUUCUUCUGUCUGGUGAGACACUGUUUUUGCCACUAAAACAUCUGUGGGUGAGAAUUUACUUGGAGGCAAACAGCUGGAUUUGUGGCAGGAUUUUGGAGCAGACAGAGCCUCUGACCAUGUUAAGAAAUCAGUAAAACAGGUGAACAUGUUGCAUAGUUAAGUCUCAAGGAAAAGAAAAGUGAUUGCAAAAUGGGAAUGGAAACCUUGGUCCAUCUGGUGUUUGUUUGAGUGCUGUCAGGCAGAAAACAUGCCUUCCUCAUCUCUGCUGUUUAUUUUGAAGAGGCUUACAGGUUGACACGUUGAGUUUUGGGCAGUCUUCACUGAAUGUUGCAUAUGUGCAUUAAUGAAGAAGUCAUCUUUAAUGAAGUAUUUGCAUUUUUUCCUUGCUGAAUUCUCCAUACAAGGACUGGAUUGAGUGAGUGUAAUAGCAUAUCCUGAAGAUAUCUCACCUUUUAAGUGUUCAGUGCCAGAAGUAAACACUGGAGCUUUUUCCCCAUAGCCCCUUUUGGAUCAAACCACUUGCAGAAAGCAAGAAGCCUACACAUGAUGCCAGAGACUUCCUGGUCCUACUGCUGCCACAGUCCAGUGAUGACCUUCUCACUACUGUCACAGUCACACUGAGAAGCUCCCAGGAGAAGCCAGAUGAAGUGUGGAAAAGAGUAGAGCAGGCUGGAACUGGAAGGGGAGUUGAAAAGGACCUAUACAUCUGUGGAUGAGGGGAUCACAGCCUGUGUCAGAGCACCUCAGAUACUUUUCAUGCUCGAACGCUUUACAAACCAUAUGUUAUUUCUACAACCUCCCUCGCUCUUGGAUGUGCUCAUCGGACUGAACCCACAGCCCUAGGUGGGGAUGCAGAGUAAUGCCCACUGCAUGUGUACCAACGAAGUUAUAGACACCGAGAGAGACCAAACGUGAAGAAAAGCCAAACACAGAAGAAUUACUACAAGCAAAACAUUAAGAGCAGUACACAAGGAGGUGUGUGGGAGAUAUCCUGCAUAUAUUAGUUGGCAAAAUGGAUUUCUGCUGAGCUGAGCUUCUUAAUAAGAAUUACUCAUUGUCUGCAGCUUGGACAACUUGCUACAUCAUGAAUGUGCAUGUAUUCAUAACAGAUGACUCUGAGGUUACUCAAUAGUACAGGGGAGACAUACUGAUACUACUAGUGCCACAGACAACAAGAACUGAAACAAACUAUAAAACGGUAAUUUACACUGCUGAGAGAGAGCAGAACGCUCCCACAGUUCUGCCAACACACCUCCUCUCUUUCGUGCUAGCUGAAUUUCCACAACACCCAUCCCCAUGCAGAGAUAUCUGUACACAUUAUCAUGUGUUGUGGCAUCCCUUGAACCUAAACAACGAAAGGAUGUGUCCCCUUGGAAGAAGACAAGAACUUUUAACACCUGUGAACAACAUCUCCCACCAACUCAGCACCUCUGUAUAGGGAGGGACGCAAGUGUCAUGCCAAAGUAUAAGAAAAUAUUUUUCCCCACCAUGGGAACAGUUCUGUCUAUACUGCAAUUUCAGUUUCAUCUUUAAUGUUGCUCUAGCAUCAAUCUUGAAAUAAUAAGAUCUAGUGCAUAACAUUUCCAUUUGCACUUAAAGUACAAAAAUAAAUAAAUAUGAAAUUUGUAUGGCAGGUAAAAUAGACCUGAAUUGAGAAGUUCUAUCAGCAAUGACUCAUGGUAGUAGUUUUGUACAAUAAACAACAGGAGUCCUCAAAGGUCUAUCUUCUUCCUCUGGAAGCCUUCAACUAGUAUAGACAAUCCAGCUGCUUUUUAAAACCUAACCUCUCUGCCCCUUCAAAGAAGCAGAUCCAGCAUUUCCACAUUCAUUCAUUGGUGUUGGGAUUCCCGAAGAGAUUGUGUGUUGUAUGUCCAUCUCCUACCACAAUUCUAACCACGCUGAGAACUGUUAGGAAGAGAAUUAGUGGAACAGAAACCAACCUGUAUCCUUUAUGAAAUGAUUUAGAUCUUUGCUAUGAAUCACCUGAGAUUAUACGCUCCGUAGUAAGACUUUCAGAUAAAAUACAAUGUAAAAAUAUCUUAGUACGUAGGAAAGACUGCUUUCUAAAAAGAAAAUAGGUCUGGUACUUCUUUUUGUCUCUCUUUCCUUAAGCAUUUAUUUGGAUUUAAAUCUAUUAAUGUUUUAAUUAAGUGCAGAGUACUUUUUUAAGGUCUCUAAGUUAUUUCCAUUUCCAAAAGUCAUUUUUGGAUUCUAAGACCACCAGCCUUACAGCUGUUGGCCUCACUAGGAGCUAUUUUAGUCUAGAAAAUUGAUCAUAUGCUACUAAUUCACUUACACUGUUCAGAAGAUGCUUAUACAAAAUCUCUCUGUCUAGGUUAAGGUCUUG